rnacentral:rRNA from 1 species
GACGAACGCUGGCGGCGUGCUUAACACAUGCAAGUCGAACGGAAAGGCCCUGCUUUUGUGGGGUGCUCGAGUGGCGAACGGGUGAGUAACACGUGAGUAACCUGCCCUUGACUUUGGGAUAACUUCAGGAAACUGGGGCUAAUACCGGAUAGGAGCUCCUGCUGCAUGGUGGGGGUUGGAAAGUUUCGGCGGUUGGGGAUGGACUCGCGGCUUAUCAGCUUGUUGGUGGGGUAGUGGCUUACCAAGGCUUUGACGGGUAGCCGGCCUGAGAGGGUGACCGGCCACAUUGGGACAGAGAGACGCCCCAGCCUCCUAGGGGGGGCAGCAGGGGGGAAUAUUGCAAAAGGGGCGGAAGCCUGAUGCAGCAACGCCGGGUGCGGAAGGACGGCCUGCGGUUUGUAAACCGCUUUCGCCUGUGACGAAGCGGGAGUGAGGGUAAUGGGUAAAGAAGCACCGGCUAACUACGUG